GGGUUUUGAAGUUUCAGAAUCUCCAGAUGUGGCAGGUAGGGGCAUGAACAUCAUCAUAUAACUUUGCAUGGUAUCUUAGGUCUUACAAAAGGCCUCCAGUGUAGAAACCUAUUCCUCAUAUUCUUUGCAUGGUAUCUUAGGUCUUACAAAAGGCCUCCAGUGUAGAAACCUAUUCCUCACAUUCUUCCUGUGCUCACAUUAUCAUCACUCUUUCUCUCCAAAUCAUAUUAAAGCUAUAGAAAAGUAAAAGUAUAGGGCGUUUAUAAACAUGUGCAAUUUAUCAAGCACAAAUACUUGGGGAGU